rnacentral:rRNA from 1 species
AUUGAACGCUGGCGGCAUGCCUUACACAUGCAAGUCGAACGGCAGCACGGGAGCAAUUCUGGUGGCGAGUGGCGAACGGGUGAGUAAUAUAUCGGAACGUGCCCAGUCGUGGGGAUAACGUAGCGAAAGCUACGCUAAUACCGCAUACGAUCUAUGGAUGAAAGCGGGGGAUCGCAAGACCUCGCGCGAUUGGAGCGGCCGGACUAUCAGAUUAGGUAGUUGGUGAGGUAAAGGGACUCACCAAGCCGACGAUCUGUAGCUGGUCUGAGAGGACGACCAG